rnacentral:rRNA from 1 species
GGUUAAGCGACUAAGCGUACACGGUGGAUGCCCUGGCAGUCAGAGGCGAUGAAGGACGUGCUAAUCUGCGAUAAGCGUCGGUAAGGUGAUAUGAACCGUUAUAACCGGCGAUUUCCGAAUGGGGAAACCCAGUGUGUUUCGACACACUAUCAUUAACUGAAUCCAUAGGUUAAUGAGGCGAACCGGGGGAACUGAAACAUCUAAGUACCCCGAGGAAAAGAAAUCAACCGAGAUUCCCCCAGUAGCGGCGAGCGAACGGGGAGCAGCCCAGAGCCUGAAUCAGUGUGUGUGUUAGUGGAAGCGUCUGGAAAGGCGCGCGAUACAGGGUGACAGCCCCGUACACAAAAAUGCACAUGCUGUGAGCUCGAUGAGUAGGGCGGGACACGUGGUAUCCUGUCUGAAUAUGGGGGGACCAUCCUCCAAGGCUAAAUACUCCUGACUGACCGAUAGUGAACCAGUACCGUGAGGGAAAGGCGAAAAGAACCCCGGCGAGGGGAGUGAAAAAGAACCUGAAACCGUGUACGUACAAGCAGUGGGAGCACGCUUAGGCGUGUGACUGCGUACCUUUUGUAUAAUGGGUCAGCGACUUAUAUUCUGUAGCAAGGUUAACCGAAUAGGGGAGCCGAAGGGAAACCGAGUCUUAACUGGGCGUUAAGUUGCAGGGUAUAGACCCGAAACCCGGUGAUCUAGCCAUGGGCAGGUUGAAGGUUGGGUAACACUAACUGGAGGACCGAACCGACUAAUGUUGAAAAAUUAGCGGAUGACUUGUGGCUGGGGGUGAAAGGCCAAUCAAACCGGGAGAUAGCUGGUUCUCCCCGAAAGCUAUUUAGGUAGCGCCUCGUGAAUUCAUCUCCGGGGGUAGAGCACUGUUUCGGCAAGGGGGUCAUCCCGACUUACCAACCCGAUGCAAACUGCGAAUACCGGAGAAUGUUAUCACGGGAGACACACGGCGGGUGCUAACGUCCGUCGUGAAGAGGGAAACAACCCAGACCGCCAGCUAAGGUCCCAAAGUCAUGGUUAAGUGGGAAACGAUGUGGGAAGGCCCAGACAGCGUCGAGUCGGCCUGCGCGGAAGAUGUAACGGGGCUAAACCAUGCACCGAAGCUGCGGCAGCGACGCGCGUUGUUGGGUAGGGGAGCGUUCUGUAAGCCUGCGAAGGUGUGCUGUGAGGCAUGCUGGAGGUAUCAGAAGUGCGAAUGCUGACAUAAGUAACGAUAAAGCGGGUGAAAAGCCCGCUCGCCGGAAGACCAAGGGUUCCUGUCCAACGUUAAUCGGGGCAGGGUGAGUCGACCCCUAAGGCGAGGCCGAAAGGCGUAGUCGAUGGGAAACAGGUUAAUAUUCCUGUACUUGGUGUUACUGCGAAGGGGGGACGGAGAAGGCUAUGUUGGCCGGGCGACGGUUGUCCCGGUUUAAGCGUGUAGGCUGGUUUUCCAGGCAAAUCCGGAAAAUCAAGGCUGAGGCGUGAUGACGAGGCACUACGGUGCUGAAGCAACAAAUGCCCUGCUUCCAGGAAAAGCCUCUAAGCAUCAGGUAACAUCAAAUCGUACCCCAAACCGACACAGGUGGUCAGGUAGAGAAUACCAAGGCGCUUGAGAGAACUCGGGUGAAGGAACUAGGCAAAAUGGUGCCGUAACUUCGGGAGAAGGCACGCUGAUAUGUAGGUGAGGUCCCUCGCGGAUGGAGCUGAAAUCAGUCGAAGAUACCAGCUGGCUGCAACUGUUUAUUAAAAACACAGCACUGUGCAAACACGAAAGUGGACGUAUACGGUGUGACGCCUGCCCGGUGCCGGAAGGUUAAUUGAUGGGGUUAGCGCAAGCGAAGCUCUUGAUCGAAGCCCCGGUAAACGGCGGCCGUAACUAUAACGGUCCUAAGGUAGCGAAAUUCCUUGUCGGGUAAGUUCCGACCUGCACGAAUGGCGUAAUGAUGGCCAGGCUGUCUCCACCCGAGACUCAGUGAAAUUGAACUCGCUGUGAAGAUGCAGUGUACCCGCGGCAAGACGGAAAGACCCCGUGAACCUUUACUAUAGCUUGACACUGAACAUAUGUUCUAACGUUGACCCGUAAUCCGGGUUGCGGACAGUGUCUGGUGGGUAGUUUGACUGGGGCGGUCUCCUCCUAAAGAGUAACGGAGGAGCACGAAGGUUGGCUAAUCCUGGUCGGACAUCAGGAGGUUAGUGCAAUGGCAUAAGCCAGCUUGACUGCGAGCGUGACGGCGCGAGCAGGUGCGAAAGCAGGUCAUAGUGAUCCGGUGGUUCUGAAUGGAAGGGCCAUCGCUCAACGGAUAAAAGGUACUCCGGGGAUAACAGGCUGAUACCGCCCAAGAGUUCAUAUCGACGGCGGUGUUUGGCACCUCGAUGUCGGCUCAUCACAUCCUGGGGCUGAAGUAGGUCCCAAGGGUAUGGCUGUUCGCCAUUUAAAGUGGUACGCGAGCUGGGUUUAGAACGUCGUGAGACAGUUCGGUCCCUAUCUGCCGUGGGCGCUGGAGAACUGAGGGGGGCUGCUCCUAGUACGAGAGGACCGGAGUGGACGCAUCACUGGUGUUCGGGUUGUCAUGCCAAUGGCACUGCCCGGUAGCUAAAUGCGGAAGAGAUAAGUGCUGAAAGCAUCUAAGCACGAAACUUGCCCCGAGAUGAGUUCUCCCUGACCCUUUAAGGGUCCUGAAGGAACGUUGAAGACGACGACGUUGAUAGGCCGGGUGUGUAAGCGCAGCGAUGCGUUGAGCUAACCGGUACUAAUGAACCGUGAGGCUUAACCU